UACGUAGGGGGCUAGCGUUGUCCGGAAUCAUUGGGCGUAAAGAGCGUGUAGGCGGUCCGGUAAGUCCGUUGUGAAAGUCAAGGGCUCAACCCUUGAAUGCCGGCGGAUACUGUCGGGCUAGAGUCCGGAAGAGGCGAGUGGAAUUCCCGGUGUAGCGGUGAAAUGCGCAGAUAUCGGGAGGAACACCUAUGGCGAAGGCAGCCUUCUGGGCCAACACUGACGCUCAUGCACGAAAGCGUGGGGAGCGAACAGG
rnacentral:rRNA from 1 species